CGGACGGGUGAGUAAUGUCUGGGAAACUGCCUGAUGGAGGGGGAUAACUACUGGAAACGGUAGCUAAUACCGCAUAACGUCGCAAGACCAAAGAGGGGGACCUUCGGGCCUCUUGCCAUCAGAUGUGCCCAGAUGGGAUUAGCUAGUAGGUGGGGUAACGGCUCACCUAGGCGACGAUCCCUAGCUGGUCUGAGAGGAUGACCAGCCACACUGGAACUGAGACACGGUCCAGACUCCUACGGGAGACAGCAUG
rnacentral:rRNA from 1 species